UACGGAGGGUGCAAGCGUUAUCCGGAUUCACUGGGUUUAAAGGGUGCGUAGGUGGGUUAAUAAGUCAGUGGUGAAAUACGGUUGCUCAACAAUCGAGGUGCCAUUGAUACUGUUAAUCUUGAAACAAGUGGAGGUUGCCGGAAUGGAUGGUGUAGCGGUGAAAUGCAUAGAUAUCAUCCAGAACACCGAUUGCGAAGGCAGGUGACUACGUUUGAUUUGACACUGAGGCACGAAAGCAUGGGGAGCAAACAGG
rnacentral:rRNA from 1 species